rnacentral:rRNA from 1 species
CCUACGAGCGGCAGCAGUGGGGGAUAUUGCACAAUGGGGGGAACCCUGAUGCAGCGACGCCGCGUGGGUGAAGAAGCGCCUCGGCGCGUAAAGCCCUGUCAGCAGGGAAGAAAAUGACGGUACCUGAAGAAGAAGCCCCGGCUAACUACGUGCCAGCAGCCGCGGUAAUACGUAGGGGGCAAGCGUUAUCCGGAUUUACUGGGUGUAAAGGGGGCGCAGACGGCGAUGCAAGCCAGGAGUGAAGGCCCGGGGCCCAACCCCGGGACUGCUCUUGGAACUGCGUGGCUGGAGUGCAGGAGGGGCAGGCGGAAUUCCUGGUGUAGCGGUGAAAUGCGUAGAUAUCAGGAGGAACACCGGUGGCGAAGGCGGCCUACUGGACUGCAACUGACGUUGAGGCCCGAAAGCGUGGGGAGCAAACAGGAUUAGAUACCCUUGUAGUC